CCGGUUACGGAUAUGUCACCGGAACCGGAAACUGACACCCCGGACUUUCAAAAUAAAAGAAAGGAUCAGCAAGCGGAAGAGUAUUGAUGAUUUGGAUCGCCUGCGAACUGCGACAAAACAACCAAGUUGAUUUAACAGCAAAUGAUGCAAAACAUAAACAUGUCCCAUGAUUUUACUUCAGCUGUGACCAGUGGAACUGAACGACAGAGUCUGCAGUGGGAACAGCUAAAUGGUUUUGCAGAGGCGAACAACUAAACCCUUUCUCAAAAAUCAGCCGAAAGGUGUUUGAUGGACAACAAAYUGAUGCAGUUGUUUGUUCCUGUCACUAGGUGAAGCUGCUGCUCCACAUCCGGGAAACACUGCAGAGGAAGAAAGCUUCAGCUUUGCAGCAAGACUUCUAUUCUGGGCUGACAGGUCAAAGGUCAACUGGUUCAGGCUUUGAGCUAAGUAAUUCCCUGCACAGUUGUUCUUUUUUUUAUCUAUAGGGACAAAGGGAACUACGUUUGAAUGUUCCUGCUUUCACAUUAAAAAGAAAUAUUAGAUGUGUCACAGUCUUCUAGUAAAAAAACACAUUUUUAAUUCUUAAUAAAUAGCAUCAUGUGGCAACACUGUCAGAAAACAAAAAGCAAGACACUUUUUCACACUUUCAAUUGAUUUGUUUUUAGGGGUGUUCCAUUUUAUUGUUAAAUUUAACUUGAGAAGAAGAUUUAUUCAGGGCUGAGCAUGUUUUCCAGUAGAAAACUUAAAUUACACAAAAACAACAAAUACAUUUAGAACCAAAUAAUCAGCUAGUAAGUUUCUUUUGGCUGCCAGAAAUAUUCCAACUCUAUGAAAUUUUAUUUUCUGUAGCAGUUAUUUAAAUGCAUAACAUCCUAAAAAAACAAAAAA